ensembl:lncRNA
AUGGGAGCCUGCCUUUGCGAAGGGCAAGGGGCCUAGCCAAUGGCGACGCCCGGGCGGGGCGCGGCCAGAGCCCCUCCUCAGGCCGCGCUGGGAAGGUCACCGGCGAGACCGGCCCGGGGCACCCGCAGGGAAUGUAGCGGCUGGGCUGCGAGGAGCCGCAGGAGUCGGGAGUCCGCUUCCGGUGCCCAGGGCUGUGCUCGUGCCCCCUGGGCAGUCCGCGCCCCCGAGGAGCGCCGCCCGGCGGCCGCGCCCCUGGACUCGAAACCCCCGCCUGGGGUGAGGCUCUGUCCUGCCCACCCCGGGCUACAGUCCCCACUCGGCCUGACCUCACACCUGCAGCCCGAGGGCCUUCCUGACCGUGCCUGCCCCCGGGGACCUUUGCCCUGCUGUCCCCGUGCCUGCAGGGCCCUCCCCUGCGCUCCACCCACCUGGCUGCCCACCAGGCCCAGUUGCUGUCCACCUUAGCAGGGCGGCCGCCUUGACCGCCUGUGUCAGGGCUGGCAUCAGCCCAGGUCUUCACGGCCGUGGUCUGGACCUGAGCCCGUUCUCCGCCUUCGGUACAGCACAGACCCAUCCGGCCCCACGGGUUGCUGUCCUCAGCCCAAGGUCACCACCGGCCUGAGCAGCUCAGGUGUGAGCAGCCCCCCUGGCUGAGCCUAGGACGCCCGCUGCUUCCCACAGCCAUCCAGAGAGGACUGAGGAUUGGGGGAGCCAAGAGGUCGAGGUGCCGGUCCUUCUGGCACUGCAGGCUCUUGUGUGCUGUAGACGUGCUGUGGUGUGUGUGUCCUGCGUGCACUGUGAAUCCCUGAGGGUCAGAACGGAGCCAGACCCCCUCUCUGCCAGGGGCUGUCCUGCAGGGGCCCUCUUUCAGGUCCUGUCUGUCCCCAGGAGUAGGCCUGAGAUGACCCCGCCCAGUGGGCAGGACCUUGCCUGGGUCCUGCCCACCUCCUCUGUCUCUAUCCUCCUGGCAGGCAUGGCCCACCCUAUUUCUCAGCUUGGCACGUGGAGGCUCUGAGGGAUUUUCCCAGAUGUGAGGCCUCUGCCCUUCUUACACAGAAAGGUAAAGCCAGGUCUGAGUGCCAAGGGCCCCUCACCCUUCUGCCCCAGGCACUGCCCUUGGUCAGUUACCCCAGGCCAGCUCUUCACUGCAGGUCUGAUCCACACCCCUCUUCCAGCCACAUCCCCUCAGGGUAGGAUGUCAAGCCCUGCCUGUUUUUUCCUGGUUCCUGGAAGGCCCAUCCGGUGGGCCUUAAAAAUAACCCUGGGCCCCACAGGCGGGCCUGGCCCAGGUCAGCAACUUUACGGGCAGCAGAGCUGGGGCCACUCCUGCGGCUGUGGGAGGAGCUCCUGGAGGGGGGCUCGGCUGAGGCACCAG